GCGCCCAUAGCUCAACGGAUAGAGUGGAAGCCUGCGAAGCUUUAGAUCCAGGUUCGACUCCUGGUGGGCGCA
rnacentral:tRNA from 1 species